GACGAUUUAUCGUAACGAUCCUGAACCCGGUGGACUCCCCCAUAUCUCGCGGAGUGCUGAUCCCCGUCCGAUUGGCCACCUCGUUCCUGAAGGUAGACCGAAGGCACCCCGGACUGAGUCGACGAGGAGACGACGCCGCUCGAACUUUGCAACAGAGUUUGGCUGGAAGAAAAUUUCUACACAGUAUGCGAUUACCGGGGUGAAAAAGGGGAUGUGAUUGAAUUAUGAAUCGCACACCGUUGCCUUGAUGAGAUCGAUCGUCGAACUUCAAUCGGCAUUAAAAUAUAAUGAGCGUUUGUAAUUGCGUAGGUAUUCGAGAAAAUUGUCAGUUUCCAGUGUUGCAUCCAAUAAAGAAUUUUUUUUUUUCAAAGAGGCGAGUUUACAUCCUGCAGAUAAAAGAAGAACGAAAGUCAUCGUUAAUCUUCGUCCGCAGAAAAUCCGCCCCGUGGAGAAUGAGGAGUGGGAGGAUCGAAAGGGAAGAAAAAAGUGGAGACGGUGGGAUGAAGUGAACGUAAAAUUACAAAAGAAACGAAAAUGCGUAGUAAGGAGAAAAUCACUGCUCCCGUUUCAUCCCUCGCUCCGAAAAAUAGAGAUAAAUUCGGAUCCGAGAACCUUGUGCGUCGCAGACGUUGACGUCGGGGGUGCGCUUGAUGUGCGAUCUGAUUUUAUUGCGAAAUGAAGUGAGUGGGAUGAAAAAUAUGCAGAAGUUACGACGAUCGCGAUAUAAUUCGCCGUCUACCGCGGUGGAACGGGUGCCCCCGAUAAGGUCCGACAGGACUACAGGAUAGAGAUCUCGUUUUACUUAUGGAGACAUUGUCUCUGCCUAAUUUCAACCCUGGCGAAACCCGAAACCCCUAACCCAAACCCCGAGUCACCUCACCGCACCCUACCCAACCCGCCACCCCUUCCGAAGGAAAACGUUGCGCGUCGUUCAGAUCUUUGAUAUGAAUUUCGAGGGUCUCGUAGUCGCGGAUGGAUGUGCCAGUGCCCCGGGCGGAGCGAAGCGAUCGUAAGAAUCAAACAAGCUUGACGGUUCAAUCAACCGAGUCGAGAUAAUAACGUACCGUAAGCAAAUAUACACGGAAUUCUUAUUUGUUAUUGUAAAAAUUAUAUUGUUCCGGAAAAUUCAUGCUUCCAACCGGAAUCUAACGAAACUCGAUCAGACAUAUCCACGCCGAAGUCUUUCACGAUGUAUGAUUUCGUUUUUGACUGUUUUUUUUCUUCCUUCUUUUUCAUUUUACAGACACUACGACGACGACGACGACGACGACGGCGACGACGGUGUAUUAUAAAUCAAUGGCCGAUCAAAAUUCUGGGUAUAAAAUAGUGAAAAAGGGAAGUUUAAAAAAAAAAAAUAGAGCGCAGAAAGUUUGCGCUUAUCCUUAUCUCUCAGCCUAUAAUAUCCCCGUCUUUAUCUUUGUCUUGGAAGUUUAGCCGGGGGGUGAGGUCCCCGCACUAAUCUCUCUUCCUCUGCCCUCCUUUUUUCCGCUCAUUUUUUUUUUUUCUUUCCAUUUUAUACCCCGCGUUAGAGGGUUAGAACCCUCGCACAACAGGGACCUCGGAUAGAGAAGGAAAGAGACGCUUUCCUUGUUCGCAAAAAUAGAAAAAAAAAAAAAAAGUGAAAUGAAAUAAAAUGAAAUAAAAUAAAGAAAAAAGAUAACAAGAGAAAAAAAAAAACUAAGGAUAAACGGUUUUCGGCUAUCAGGAGACACGUGUCAGUACCAGAUCUGGUUUUCUAUCCCACCUAUUAUACCGUAAGGUUUACGUCGGACGCAGCUAUGGGAGAAGAGAGGGAGAGACGACGAGAGAAAAAUUCUUCAUCCAAAAAAGAAAAGAGUGGUGUAUGUAAAAAAAUAGAGAGGGUAAAAUUCCGGGGCGGUCACUCCCGCAGUCUCUUCUGAUACCGGAGAAGAGAAGAAAAAUAUAGAAAAAAAACAAAAAAAAAAAAAACAACUUAUACGAAAGGAAAAAAAGGACAAAAAGAAAGGGGUGAUUUACGCGACAUUUUUCUCUCCACUUUUUGUUUUUUUGCUUUUCCUUCUCCUUUGCACGCAUACAUGUACGUGUAUACACACGCUAUGUAAUAUAUUUAUACACGGUGUAACGCAGAAAAGCGACAACGUUCCAGUUUUAGGUUUUCCAGGUUUCACCGGCAGACCCCCGCUUAUAUUAUAUGAGCUGUACGUUGUAUUCCGGGAAAGUUUUCGGUGAAGUGUUGAAGCAGUUGCUACUGUUAGACGUGGAAAACUUGUAUAGCUAUAUACGUACAAUGUACAUUGUCACACAUACAUUCCUGUACAUGGAAGUAUGAGACAUAGAAAAGGGAAUAGGAAUGAAGCUGCAGGGGACUUCCACCCGAAUAAUUACGAAAUCCUUUCCCAAGGGAUGAUGCCCAGGGAUCGAAUUUUGCGCAGCUAUAUAUACGAUAUGUAAUACAUAUAUGUAUGUACAUAGGUUUGUACAAAAGUCGCAGGAAACAGCUCUCAACCCCCAACCUACACCCUGAAAUUUCUCCGGUCUUGGGGGAAUUAAGGGGGGGGGGGGAGAGAGAAAAAAACGGAAGAAUCGGAAAGAAGAAGAAAAUAAAAUUGGGUGACGCACCUGAACAUCCUUACCCUCUCAAUGCCCCCUUUCCCGUUUCUAUGAUAUAUUUUUCUUUUUUUUCAAAAAAUCAUGUUUCCGGUUCCCGUGGGCAGAGUAAUCAGCUGAUCACGACGAACCGCGUUUGUACAGUAUAUUUGUUUUCCUCUCAUCUCUUUCGAUCUCCUGCUAUUUUGUUUCAUAAUUAUUUUCUUUCUCUCGUUUUUUCUGAGCGCUCGUACACGUAAUAUACCCACGUAUAAUGCAUACCAUAUCCUGCCACCUUAGCUAACAUACAAAACGCACACCUUUAGCCUCCCUUACACACCUUAUAUACUACACCCACAUUCUCUGUAUUGAUCUCUCCAGCUCUCGCGAGACAGGGAGGUCGCGAACGUGAUCAAGACGAGGGGGUGAGACGAGAGGGUAAGGGCGGAGAACUCUACGAGAGUCUCGUGCAGCACAACCGCUACAAAGGAGAAAGAGAAAAAAAAAAAAAAGGUAAAACAAAAUAAGGGUGCGAAAGUAUUUAUUACGCCCAAGGAAUGAGGAGAAGAAGAAAGAAGCAACGAUGAAAUGAAAAGAAAUUAAAAAAUUAAAAUUAAAAUGCGAGAGGAAAAAAACGUAACGUAUUUACCCCCUCUAAUCAGAACAAGCGAACUGCAAUUCGUGACAAUAAUAUAUUACGUGGGUUGUUAUACCUCCUCUUUGCAUUUGCAUUCCGCGAUGCGAGUGGAAAAAUGUGAAUUUCGUAAAAUUGGAACAACCGCGGUGCAAUGUAUAUGUGUACGGACGUGGUCCAAAAAGGGAAAAGGGAAAAGGGAAAAGUGCGUGACCCUCGACCUCACCUCCCCCCGCCACCCAACUUCUAACCCUGGUGCACUCCACUUCCUUGCAACCGUCUCCACUCUACAUUCACCUUAAUUAAAUUCACGAACAAUCCUCGCCCCCCGGCGUAUGUUCUCGCCCUUCUCUAUGUUCCUUAUACUCGUUCUACUAAUUUUAUUUCACUUGAAUUAUUCUCCUGCUAAUAUUCGAUAUCGUUGUAGAAAUAUGGCGGAUUAAUAAUUAAAAAAAAAAAAUAAAAAAGAUAAGAAAUGAGAAACACAUUUAUUAAACACAGGAGAUGAGAUACUUUGAAAAUCCGAAUACGCUGAUUCAAAUCUGAUCCCCUGAAAAAAAGGGGAAUCUUUGCAGCGAUGAAAAAUAAAUCAAUGAAUGACUUAAAAUAUAUAAAUUAUUGUAAUUGUAUAAAUUUGUACUUUAUUGAUAGAAAAAUGGCUGUUUACGAUGGCUUCAAGUUUCAGGAUAUACGUAAAUGCCAUAUUCAUAUGUACCUAGCGUAUGUACAUACACUUAUGUACGAUGUACAUAGGUAACAAACUAUGUGCCCUACGUUUGCCCCAUAAAUUAUGUGACUUCGUGCAAAAGAUCACGGCGGUUGGUCUCGUAGUGCCAUCCUCGGUAAUUAAUUUGCAACCCCCACCCACGUUAAUUACCCUUUAGCAAAGUACUAAAAUUUCAACUGUAUAUAUCGCGUGACUAGAGCCAAAAAGGCGUAUGAGGCUCAUGCACUUCUGCCUUUUCGCGGCCAACAAGCCGCACUUUUAUAAUAACAUACAACAUCGAAUAUUUGAAAGCGAUGAAAAGAACGAGGCGGAACUGAUGAGGGUCGGUAUACAAAUCAACUUUUUCGCAUAUUCACGUCGUUCCGAUUCUAGUCAGAGUAUAAAUAAUAUUUCCGGGCGGUUUUGCGUUGAUAAGUCGACCGCGCGAAUAUAUGUAUGUUGAAAAGAAAAUUCUCAACUGAUUAUGAAAAUGACGAUUCGACGAUUCCUCGUUCUCUUUUUAUCUGCAGCGUACCGGUAAGUACGGGAAACCCGAGCACAUGCUGUGCUGAAAUUUUGGACAUUCGGGUCGAUUCGUGUUUCGGAAGGAAAUCAAAAUGACGACGAUAAAAAAUAAAAGUGCAAUUUUUCACCCCUUCUCGCGUUCGACCAUUCUAUGUGCGUGAUUCCGACCCGCUGCUUCUUUCCUCGAAGAAGUUUGAGUCUUAUUUAACGAGCUUGCAAACUUUAUUCGCCUUUCACCCAGUCCACCGUUUUCUCUCCCCCGAUCUUCCCUUUACUUCGACACUUUGGCACUUACGAUAUUCGCAGGGACUCCCAGCACAGUUAUAUACACGAUUCGAAAUAAACUUUAAAUAAAGAAAAACAAUGGAUACCUGUAUACCUGUGUAUAUGCCGAGAUGAAUUUCUAUCCGGAGGAAAUGUUAGAUGAAUUAUGUACGUAUAUCGUGGGUCGCGAUUCGAAAUUAGAGUGGAUAUCAAUCAGCUGGAAUAUUCACAAUGCGCGCGUUUUUCAUUUUUGUCAUUCUUAUAUUCAACCCAACAUAUCAUCUAAUACGUUGGAACGAAUGAGAAAAAAUAACCGAACGAAAGUCUAGCCUUAUAAAGCUGGGAAAAUCUUAUAAUUCAUUGAGCUUACCGAUUUAUAAAAGGCCGUAUCGUCGCGGUGAGUAAAAAUCCUAAUUGGCCGUGUAAUCCGUUCUGAAGCACAAUUCUUUCUUUUUUUUUUUUAUUGAUUUUC